rnacentral:rRNA from 1 species
GACGAACGCUGGCGGCGUGCUUAACACAUGCAAGUCGAACGGAAAGGCCCUGCUUUUGUGGGGUGCUCGAGUGGCGAACGGGUGAGUAACACGUGAGUAACCUGCCCUUGACUUUGGGAUAACUUCAGGAAACUGGGGCUAAUACCGGAUAGGAGCUCCUGCUGCAUGGUGGGGGUUGGAAAGUUUCGGCGGUUGGGGAUGGACUCGCGGCUUAUCAGCUUGUUGGUGGGGUAGUGGCUUACCAAGGCUUUGACGGGUAGCCGGCCUGAGAGGGUGACCGGCCACAUUGGGACUGAGAUACGGCCCAGACUCCUACGGGAGGCAGCAGUGGGGAAUAUUGCGCAAUGGGCGGAAGCCUGAUGCAGCAACGCCGCGCGCGGGAUGACGGCCUUCGGGUUGUAAACCGCUUUCGCCUGGGACGAAGCGUGAGUGACGGUAAUGGGUAAAGAAGCACCGGCUAACUACG